ensembl:lncRNA
CAUCCACGUCGCCUCUUUCUCACUUUGGGGCUCGGUGUCCCAGCUGUAUCGACGGUAAAGCAUUGGGGUCCCUCCCGGCCCCAGUGAGUGCAGUGUCCUCCUGCUACAGCGGUGUCCUGGAGCCACCUUCCUCCUAAAGGCUGGGUCAUGGGAGGUGGGACAGGUAGUGACUCUCUGAGCCUCAACUUUCCCGUCUGUAAAAUGUGAGACAUCAUGGAAGGAUGUGGACACUGAGCCCCAGAAACAGGAUCCAGUAGAGAAGAAUUAAGUGUGAUGUUGAGUCUGCUAGACAGGUUCCUGGAGCAAGAGUGAAGAGAUCGGGUCCCAUCAUUGGACACUUGAGGACUCAAGAAGCUUGGAUUAACCUUGUUAGAGUGGAGUCCAUCUAAAGUCAUACAUCUUAGGUGGGUACUAACAUACAUAUUGCUCCCUGUGGGCAUUUACACUUCAUGUAGGUCUAGAGAUCAAGACGAGGAAGGUGUGGGAUGCAGAUAUGGAAUUGGUCUGGCAUGCAGUAGACACC